rnacentral:lncRNA from 1 species
CUUUAAAUGGGUAUAUCGUCGUUAUUUUAUGGUGGAUGUCAUUGAAAUUUUCAGGACGUACUAAAGAAAGGUAGAUUAUUCAUUUUAUUAUAAUAAAAGCUUAUUGAAUGAUGCUAAAAUUGUCAUUUUAAACGCAUUGCAAACUGUAUGUGCUGUUUUUUGGCACCGAUGGAUAUAUACGCAUUAUGUUAUUUUUCUGAGUGUAGCUUGAAACUAUUGCAACUACUAUUCAAUUUAGCUUAAAGAAAAAUGCGUCAUGUCUUGUUUUUAGAACGCAGUAGGUUGAAUUUUUUUAAUUUUAGGCGCAUAUUAUACUGUGAAUAUCCUUAUAAUUCGUACUACUAUUCGUACUAAAUUAUAUACCUGAUCAGUAAAAGGGGAUGUGAUGUCUUUGUAUUGAGCUUCUUUUCUUAAUUAACAAAAACGUUUUUGGACUAAACUAAGUAAACUGCGCGAGUAGAAUCCAUUUUCACCAGAACUGGUUUUAUGGUUUAUAAUUUGUAACUUUGAUAUUAAACUUUGAUUGCUGGUGACAGUAAUGCACCUAUCAAUGUUAAGCCCCAGAGGGGGGGGGGGGUCGGGCAUAGGUGGGGCAUUUGACUUUUUGAGCAAAUUUUCAAUCAAAUGUCCCACCGUCGGGCAAUAAAUAUCGGUCAAAUGCCCCACUAUUUUGCAAUAAAUUGCAAUAAAUACUAUAUUAAUAAAGGUUAAUUGGUUCAAAUUGCCCCAACUUGGGGCCAAAAUGCUGAUCAAGAUCCCUAGGUGCCCGCCCCCCUCUGGGGGUUAACAUUGAUAGGUGCAUAAUGAGUACGAUAUUUGUUCACAUCUGUAUCAAGCAAUUGAUGGUGGAGCAGACUAACUUACCAGAAGUUACAGUUCAUGACCCAAAAUUGCAACACACCAAUCUCAUGUAGAUUUACUCAGCAAGCACCAUCUUAAUUAAUGAUUUCACCUGUUUUCAAUUACCAUCAGCAUUGUUAGGUUUACCAUCUUAGUGAAGGAGCGAGACUAAUUAGGCUCCAAAAUAAUAAAAUAUUGCACAUUCAAACUGUGUAGCUCAGUCUGGAAUGCAUUGGUCUUGUAAACCAGGGGUUGUGGGCUGCAUUCUUACUGUGGUCAAGUUGAUUUUUCAGCUUGCCUGGUAUAGAUUUACUCAGUGUAGCAACAUCUUAGUAAUUAUUUAACACCAGCCUUGUAUUUUACAGUUCAGUUCUUAUGUACUUUGGUGUAAAAGAUUUUAAGCAAUAUAACUUGUAGAAGUUAUAUUGCUUAAUUGUUUUGGCAACACAGCAUAUUGUCCAGUGCAUAUGGUUAAAGAUGUGCUACCUUCAAAUAUUUUCUGUUGUUCUUUUUAGUGUUGGAAAGUUCACAAUUGGCAAAUUUCAAGCUGUAGUAAAUGCACAACCUCAAAAACAAUUUUUGUAUCUUCCUUGAUGUAGUCCAGAAAGCAAUUUGUUGGAACAUGAAGACCUUCAAAUGUGUUUUCUGUUUGAUCAAAGGCCUUGAAGAAACAAAACUGCUUCCUGUUAUCAUCUAGGUC